ensembl:lncRNA
GGGAUGGGGAGGAGGAAGACAGCCCUCCGGACUGGAAGUUUGAAACCCUUUCUCCUGUUCCUGUCUUUAAAACACGAACUGGCAGGCUGGACUUCUUAUAUAACACUCCUUUAGUGACUGAAGCACUUGUCACAACCACCUUGGGGACCUAGGUUCAAUGCCCCCACUUUCAGGAAGUCAAGCUCUUUGCUCAGAUAGCACGUGGCUGAGCAGCGGCAGUAAAACCAGAGUCCCUAUUUCCACUCUUAGACCAGUGAGCCCUCCUGCACCCACGACGGAGACUGAGGAGGAGAAAAAUAACCAGCCAUGCAAAAUCCAAAAAAAAAAAAAAUCCUCUCAAGAUUAUGAAAUCAAAGAGCAUUUUGUUGUUUCUUGGACAUUCUUCUUACUACUCUGAGGCAGCGCAAUUCAACAGGCAUCUCUUUCUUGUUGUUAAAGUACUUGUUCUAUCUCCUGCCUCUUUUACCAACUUUCACAUCGACCGAGAACGCAAGCGUUUACCUGGGCUCCAUCCUUGGACGGCGAACUGGUCGCGCAGGCUUCCGGCCUCCUCCUCCCUGGGAUUUGGCUCCAAGGCUCCCGCAAAAUCUCGAAAUCCCCCCCAGAUCGGCGCGGCCACUGAGGGAAGCAGCCCGGCUCUGAACAAGCCCAGGCAAGCCCAGGCAGAGCCCGCUUCGCGGUCCUUCCUCCUGCGCGAACCACCCGGCCCCGGGGCGAGAGACGCGUCUCUCGGGCCGCAGAUCCGUGGAGUCGUCUCUCUCCAGAGGACCGGGCGCCGGCCCUCUCCUCCACCUGAGAAGGAAAAGGGUGCAGAGCCACCAAAAUGCCUUGACCUGGGCGGCUGACAGAUGAAGGAGUACAUUUGGGAGACUCCAGACUGCAGUAACUAGAGGACUUGAAAUAAGAUUUAUAUCCACUUUUCCAUUCAGAGAGGCCAAACCACAUUCAGGCCUCUCCCCCCCCCCUUAAUCAUGUAUGUAUAAGUGAGGACUGGUUUAUAAAGGCAUCUCCAUAUGUCAGUCUGUCUCACCGAGGGUGUUCAGCCCAUCUGUAUUUCCUGCAGAAUUCAUCCCAUACCCAGAUGCAGAUGUACACACACCCCUGACUAGCAAGCAAGGGCACUAUAGAGAAAGGGGGCUACAGAGGUAGCAUGCACAAGCUUCAAUUUAUGGCCCCCACCCAGACACAGCUUCAAAACAGUGCACUCAGGAGGCAUUCAUGUCUUAAAUUUAACCACAGAAGCCCAAGGAGUCCUACUUCCAAAUCAGCCUAUGAGAUUGAUCUUGUCCAAAAAUGUGAAUUAAAAAAAAAAAAAAGGCUAGCGACUUCCCUGGUGGUCCAGUGGCUAAGACUCCGUGCUGCCAAUGCAGGGGACCUGAGUUUAAUCCCUGAUCAGGGAACUAGAUCCUACAUGCUGAAACCAAAGAUCCUGCAUGCUGCAACUAAGAACCAACAAAGCCAAAUAAAUAAAUAUUUUAAAAAUUAAAAAAGGAUAGUGAUAUCCUAGGAUUACAUCAUACUGAUGGUUGCACAAUUUUGUGAAUCUAGUCUCCCUCCAUAUCUAAAUGUGGGACAGUUUCAGGGCCCUCUUAAGAUCCUCAAAUUUGAAGAUGCUCAUGGUGAAGAACCCGCCUACCAAUGCAGGAGACCUAAGAGACUCAGGUUCGAUCCCUGGGUUGGGAAGAUUUCCUAGAGAAGCAAAUGGCAACCCACUCCAGUAUUCUUGCUUAGACAAUCCCAUGGACAGAGGAGCCUGACAGGCUACAGUCCAUAGGGCCACAAAGAGUCAGACAUGACUAAAGUGACUUAGCACACACGCAAGUUCCUUACAUAAAAUAAGGUAAUAUUUUAUUUUAAUAUAAUCUAUGCACAGUCUCCUGUAUACUUUAAAUCAUCUCUAGAUCACUCAUAACACUUGAUACAAUAUAAAUACAAUGUAAAUAAGUAUAGCAUUGUGUUAGUCACUCAGUUGUGUCUGACUCUGGGUGAUUCCACUGACUGUAGCCUAGCUCCUCUGUUCAUGGAAUUCUCCAGGCAAAAAUACUGGAUUGGGUAGCCAUUUAAGUUUAAUGUAAAUGAUAUGUAAAUAGUUGCUGGCCAUUGGCAAAUUCAAGUUUUGCUUUUGGGGACUUUCUGGACAUAGUUUCUUUUAAUUUUUUCAGUCAACUGUCAGUUGAAUUCAUACAACUGAUAUGGAUACAAAACCCGUGGAUACAGAGGGGUGACUGUAUACUGGAGCCCACCAAACUGUACUUUUAAGUGGUGAAAUUUAUGGUAUGUAAGUUAUAUCUCAGUAGAAGGAAGAAAGGAGGGCACCAUUCUUUUUAGUGGCCCAAAAUAAAUGGCAUGAACCCAGCAGAUUUCUGAAAGUCCCAGAACUCUUUUUUUUUUUUUUAACUUCAGCACUUGAUAAAUGCUAACUCCCCUGACUCAGAAGAUUCCUUGGUGGUCUAGUAGUUAAGACUUUGUGUUCCACUGCAGGGGUUGUGGGUUCGAUACCUGGUUGGGGAACUGUGAUCCCAUAUGCCACAGGAAACAAUAAAAAGAAAUAAAUAAAUUGGGCCAAGAUACAAAAAAAAUCUAAUCCUGGUGUAGGUAACACAAGGGAGUCGGGCAUCCUGUGGCCAUUGUGCCUGGACCCUGGCAGGUCCUGACAAGUCCAAAGCAGCCUGUCUUUUAUGCCCUCAAAGACAACUGUGGUGACACGGGGUCUGAGACUGGACCCUGCAGAAGAAAGGGGGCUUGGUGGUGGGGAGGACUUGCCUAUUGCAACCCUGCAUCUGUGAAUGACAGAUGUUGCUGCCACAUUGAUAAACAAGGAUGCUGCAAUCUUCAAACCACCACAUUAUAGCCACCUAGACCAUAAGCCCUGAGGGAACUCAGGAUGGAGGCAGGAAGCACCCCCUCCCCAGCUAGAAGUCAGCCACUGCAGCCACCACCAGGGGGCACCCUGAGGAGACUCAGGAUGAGAAAACAUGGUAUUCUGGCCCCAGAAAGCUGAGGGCAUACCAAGGAAUGACAUCGGCAAGCCCAGACUUUUGCAUCUUUCCCAUGCAUAGACAUGCGCCAAAUUCUUAACUUGAGAUGUCUGGUGUUCUUUAACAGUAAGGUGGCUCAGUGGUAAAGAAUCCGACUGCCAGUGCAUGAGACGAGGAUUCAAUCCCUGGGUUGGGAAGAUCCCUGGAGGAAGGCAUGGCAACCCACUCCAGUAUUGCCUGGGGAAUUCCAUGGACAGAGGAGCCUGGCAGGCUACCGUCCACAGGGUUGCAAAAGAGUCGGACACGACUGAACAACUCAACAACAACAAUAGCAGCAAUAUUUUGACGUUCUGACUACUUGGUCUUUGUUGCAGAAACUCCUAUGUAUCCUGGCUCCUCGCUUGCCUCUUUGGAGCAGUCCCGCAGGGCUAUCUGAGAGGUUAUGUCCUGGGCUUAAGUUCUCAGAGUGUCCGCCAAAUAAAACAAAACUCUCAG